rfam:Dipodomys ordii contig_68075, whole genome shotgun sequence.
GGGAAGGUGGCUCAGGGGUAGAGCACUUGCCUUGCAUGCAUGAGGCCCUGGGUUCGAUUCCCUAGUGCCA